rnacentral:rRNA from 1 species
GAGUUUGAUCAUGGCUCAGGAUGAACGCUGGCGGCAUGCCUGACACAUGCAAGUCGAACGAAGGUACAAGCCUUAGUGGCGGACGGGUGCGUAACGCGUGAGAACCUACCCUCAGGAGAAGGAUAACUUACGGAAACGUUUGCUAAUACUUCAUAAGUCGAAAGAUGAAAGGAUCCCGCCUGGGAAUGGGCUUGCGUCCGAUUAGCUAGUUGGGGGGGUAACGGCUCACCAAGGCCACGAUCGGUAGCUGGUUUGAGAGGAUGGCCAGCCACAUUGGGACUGAGACACGGCCCAGACUCCUUCGGGAGGCAGCAGUGAGGAAUCUUCCGCAAUGGGCGAAAGCCUGACGGAGCAAUGUCGCGUGGGGGAAGAAGAACCUUGGUUUGUAAACUCCUUUUACUGGGAAAGAAUCCCAGCGUUCCUUGGUUGAGGGGAGCCCUCUUAGAGUGAACCCCUGCUAUAGCCAAGGAGCACGCGCCGGGCAGAGAGAGGGAAGGCUGGGUAGGGGCUAGCUCCUCCUUGGUUAUCCCGCUCUCUGAGAUGACCACCCAGAGAAUAAGCAUCGGCUAACUCCGUGCCAGCAGCCGCGGUAAUACGGGGGAUGCGAGCGUUAUCCGGAAUUAUUGGGCGUAAAGCGCCUGCAGGCUGUUUGGUAAGUCUGGGGUCAAAUACCACGGCCUAACCCUGGAAAGGCAACAGGAACUGCUAAACUGGAGGGUGGUAGAGGUAGAGGGAACUCCUAGUGUAGCGGUAAAAUGCGUAGAUAUUAGGAAGAACACCGGCGGCGAAAGCGCUCUACUGGACCAUUACUGACGCUCAGAGGCGAAAGCUAGGGGAGCGAGAGGGAUUAGGUACCCCUGUAGUCCUGGGCCGUAAACGAUGGGUACUAAGCGCUGGACAUCUACCAGUGCUGUAGUUAACGCGUCAAGUACCCCGCCUGGGGAGUACGCUCGCAAGGGUGAAACUCAAAGGAAUUGACGGGGGCCCGCACAAGCGGUGGAGCAUGUGGUUUAAUUCGAUGCAACGCGAAAAACCUUACCAAAGCUUGACAUGCCCUCCGAAGGGGGAGGGGACACAGGUGGUGCAUGGCUGUCGUCAGCUCGUGUCGUGAGAUGUCUGGUUGAGUCCUGUAACGAGCGCAACCCCUGUCGUCAGUUGUUACGUCUCCUCUCCCUCGGCGGAGAGGUGCAAAAAACUGGAGAGACUGCCGCUGAAAGCCGGAGGAAGGUAGGGACGACGUCAAGUCAGCAUGCCCCUUAAGCUUUGGGCUACACACGUGCUACAAUGGCCUAGACAAAGGGACGCUAACCUGAGGGGAGCUAAUCUCCAAACUCGGCCUAAGUUCGGAUUGCAGGCUGCAACUCGCCUGCACGAAGUCGGAAUCGCUAGUAAUCGCUGGUCAGAAUACAGCGGUGAAUACGCUCCCGGGCCUUGUACACACCGCCCGUCACACCAUGGAAGUCGGUCACACCCGAAGUCGUCUUUUGCCGACCGUUUUUCCGAGUGAGGCCAUCUUGAGAAGGUGUGGUUUCGCUUGGAAAGCAGGGACACGUUCCUGAGUGAGGCGGCGCCGAAGGAGGGGCUGGUAACCAGGGUGAAGUCGUAACAAGGUAACC